rnacentral:rRNA from 1 species
CCUCAAAUCAGGCAAGACUACCCGCUGAACUUAAGCAUAUCAAUAAGCGGAGGAAAAGAAGCUAACAAGGAUUCCCCUAGUAACUGCGAGUGAAGCGGGAAAAGCUCAAAUUUAAAAUCUGGCAGUCUUUGGCUGUCCGAGUUGUAAACUAGAGAAGUGUUACCCGCGUCGGACCGUGUACAAGUCUCCUGGAAUGGAGCAUCAUAGAGGGUGAGAAUCCCGUCUUUGACAUGGACUACCGAGGCUUUUGUGGUGCGCUCUCAACGAGUCGAGUUGUUUGGGAAUGCAGCUCAAAAUGGGUGGUAAAUUCCAUCUAAAGCUAAAUAUUGGCGAGAGACCGAUAGCGAACAAGUACCGUGAGGGAAAGAUGAAAAGAACUUUGGAAAGAGAGUUAAACAGUACGUGAAAUUGCUGAAAGGGAAACGCUUGAAGUCAGUCGCGUUGGCCGGAAAUCAACCCUGCUUCUGUUGGGUGUACUUUCUGGUUGACGGGCCAGCAUCAGUUUUGACCGGUGGAAAAAGUCCAAGGGAAUGUGGCAUCUCCGGAUGUGUUAUAGCCCUUGGUCGUAUACAUCGGUUGGGACUGAGGAAUUCAGCACGCCGCAAGGCCGGGUUUCGACCACGUUCGUGCUUAGGAUGCUGGCAUAAU